GCCUCCGUGGCGCAAUCGGAUAGCGCGUUCGGCUGUUAACCGAAAGGUUGGAGGUUCGAGCCCUCCCGGGGCGAUGUGUCGCU
rnacentral:tRNA from 1 species